GACGAACGCUGGCGGCGUGCUUAACACAUGCAAGUCGAACGGAAAGAGAUGAAAGAGCUUGCUCUUUUAUUAAUUUCAGUGGCAAACGGGUGAGUAACACGUAAACAACCUGCCUUAAGGAUGGGGAUAACAGACGGAAACGACUGCUAAUACCGAAUGCGUUCUAAGCAUCGCAUGGUGCAUAGAAGAAAGGGUGGCCUCUACAAGAAAGCUAUCGCCUUAAGAGGGGCUUGCGACUGAUUAGGUAGUUGGUGAGGUAACGGCUCACCAAGCCGACGAUCAGUAGCCGGUCUGAGAGGAUGAACGGCCACACUGGAACUGAGACACGGUCCAGACUCCUACGGGAGGCAGCAGUGGGGAAUCUUCCGCAAUGGACGAAAGUCUGACGGAGCAACGCCGCGUGAACGAAGAAGGUCUUCGGAUUGUAAAGUUCUGUGAUUCGGGACGAAAGGGUUUGUGGUGAAUAAUCAUAGACAUUGACGGUACC
rnacentral:rRNA from 1 species